rnacentral:lncRNA from 1 species
ACAGAAACAUUGACAAACUUUGGAACCUUAUCUGUAUAACCAUUUUUGCGACAGGUUUAAAGCAGGUUCCCAUGUUUUAAGCAGGUAGCCCCCCCCCCCCUUAGGUAAUCCUUUGAUUUCUUCCUGUAUUCAUUUGUAUUGUUAGAACUUGAGAAAGCUGAAAACGAGGCUCUGGCUAUGCAGAAGCAGUCUGAGGGCCUUACCAAAGAAUAUGACCGUCUGCUAGAAGAGCACGCCAAGCUGCAGGCCUCAGUACGUGGUCCCUCAGACAAGAAGGAGGAGUAAAGACUUGGUUUUUCCCUGCCUGUAGCUGGCUUAUACUUGACCCAUGCUUACUGCUUCCUUGGAGCCCAGCCUGUCCCUCUGGUACUUGGUUUAUUCCCUUCCAUUUCCCCAAUUUUCUUCCAUGGCUUAUAGAUCAUUUUGGCCCCAUUACACAUACUACUCUUAUACCAAAAAGGACCUGAUUGUUGUUCAUUCACAGUAAUUUUGCCACUGUUCUGCCUGGCCAGGGCACUUUCCACUCCUAGAAGUGUAGAAAAGCACUGGUGACCUGGGCUGCACUUGUACUCCAUUUUAUUUUGCCAUGUAUCCUAAAAGAGGCUGCUGUUAAGCAGGUCAACUGUUUUAUCCUGAGGGGAAUAAAUGUUGUUAUGUU